rnacentral:rRNA from 1 species
AUUGAACGCUGGCGGCAUGCUUUACACAUGCAAGUCGAACGGUAACAGGCCGCAAGGUGCUGACGAGUGGCGUACGGCGGGGUAAUGCAUCCGAACGUUCCCAGUCGCGGGGGGUAACUACUCCAAAGAGUAGCUAAUACCGCAUACGAAAUAUGGUUUAAAGCGGGGGUGCGUAAGCGCUCGCUCGGUUGGAGCGGACGAUGUCAGCCUAGGUAGUUGGGGGUGUAAAGGUACUCCAAGCCAACGAUCUGUAGCUGGUCUAAGAGGACAAGCCGCCACCUGGGGACUGAGACACGGCCCAGACUCCUACGCGAGGCAGCAGUGGGGAAUUUUGGACAAUGGGCGAAAGCCUGAUACAGCAAUGCGGCGUGCAGGAAGAAGGCCUUCGGGUGGUAAACUGCUGUUGUACGGAGCGAAACAGAUCUGGUUAAUACCCGAGGAUAAUGACGGUACCGGAAGAAUAAGCACCGGCUAACUACGUG